rnacentral:rRNA from 1 species
AAAGGAAUAGACGGGGGCCCGCACAAGCGGUGGAGUAUGUGGUUUAAUUCGAUGAUACGCGAGAAACCUUACCUGGAUUUGACAUGUCCGGAAUCUUUUGGAGACAAGAGAGUGCCUGCUUGCAGGAGCCGGAGCACAGGUGGUGCAUGGUUGUCGUCAGCUCGUGUCGUGAGAUGUUCGGUUAAGUCCGGCAACGAGCGCAACCCUUUUUGUCGGUUGCCAGCACGUAAUGGUGGGGACUCCGACGAUACUGCCGGUGACAAACCGGAGGAAGGUGGGGACGACGUCAAAUCAUCACGCCCCUUACGUCCAGGGCGACACACGUACUACAAUGCGCGGCACAACGAGCAGCAAUGCGGCGACGCAAAGCGAAUCUCUUAAAACCGCGCCAAGUUCGGAUCGGAGUCUGCAAUUCGGCUCCGUGAAGCCGGAAUCGCUAGUAAACGCGAAUCAGCAUGUCGCGUUGAAUACGUUCUCGGGCCUUGUACACACCGCCCGU